rnacentral:rRNA from 1 species
GACAGAGGAUGCAAGCGUUAUCCGGAAUGAUUGGGCGUAAAGCGUCUGUAGGUGGCUUUUUAAGUCUGCCGUCAAAUCCCAGGGCUUAACCCUGGACAGGCGGUGGAAACUACCAAGCUGGAGUACGGUAGGGGCAGGAGGGAAUUUCCGGUGGAGCGGUGAAAUGCGUAGAGAUCGGAAAGAACACCAACGGCGAAGGCACUCUGCUGGGCCGACACUGACACUGAGAGACGAAAGCUAGGGGAGCAAAUGGG